ACAAAGAAGAAAGAGCUUUGUGCUCUAUUAGAUGUUAUGUUAAGGAAGUCUUCACCCUAGAAGCGUUGUAGCUGAGAAUAUUUCCAUAACAAGCCUUGACGCGGAGGGGACGGGAGCCAAACUUCAAAGUACCAAAACACAAGAAAACUUAGCGCAGUCACAAAGUCACAGAUCAUUUUUUUCCGGCAGGUUUUGAAGUUUUCUUUGCAUUGUUCCGGACUUCAGUCUCUGAUUAUGUUAUUAAUGGUCUAUAGCUACACGCAACUGCAUUUCAAGGUGGAGCCAGAGUAUUCCGGACCGUCACUCACCAGCACUAAAAUUGUUCCCAGUGAAUGGUCAAUGCAAUGUAAUCAAUGACAGAAUACGGCAAGAACAUGGAGGGAACGAUCUCUGGAUUCGUGCCAAUAAGGACGCCUUUCAGAUAUCCGGAAUUAUAGUGCGUCUGUAGAACGGACCGACAUUCACAAGUAUCACAAAAGAAAAAAACUCCAACGCUCAUUGUAAAUGCAGGUGGGAAAAUGACAACUAUAGAAAAUCGGGGCAAAGGUUCAAGAAAAUCAAUGGCCGCCCUUUCACUUAGCGAUAACAGCAAGCAGAUUAUUUGCCACUUUAGUCAAUUGCUUCAAGCUGAAUUACGGAUUAUUUACUCUAAAAAAGCGAUGGUGAUAUUGACAAUAGACUAGAAUUAGGGCUAAAUGGGGUUUUCCAUUUAAAAAAAUUAAAAUUUUUGUUGUUUUUCUCUCUUUGCACUAAAAAUAAAA